rnacentral:rRNA from 1 species
CCUACGGGAGGCAGCAGUGGGGAAUUUUGGACAAUGGGCGCAAGCCUGAUCCAGCAAUGCCGCGUGAGUGAAGAAGGCCUUCGGGUUGUAAAGCUCUUUUGUCAGGGAAGAAACGGUGGAGGCUAAUAUCCUUUGCUAAUGACGGUACCUGAAGAAUAAGCACCGGCUAACUACGUGCCAGCAGCCGCGGUAAUACGUAGGGUGCAAGCGUUAAUCGGAAUUACUGGGCGUAAAGCGUGCGCAGGCGGUUUUGUAAGUUUGUCGUGAAAUCCCCGGGCUCAACCUGGGAAUGGCGAUGAAGACUGCAAGGCUAGAAUCUGGCAGAGGGGGGUAGAAUUCCACGUGUAGCAGUGAAAUGCGUAGAGAUGUGGAGGAACACCGAUGGCGAAGGCAGCCCCCUGGGUCAAGAUUGACGCUCAUGCACGAAAGCGUGGGGAGCAAACAGGAUUAGAUACCCUGGUAGUCCACGCCCUAAACGAUGUCUACUAGUUGUACGGUUUUAAUAACGUUGGUAACGCAGCUAACGCGUAGAAGUAGACCGCGUGGGGAGUACGGUCGCAAGAUUAAAACCGCAAAGUGAAGUAGACGGCGUGAGACGUAGCCGACGGACGACCGACGACGGGAGGAGG